rnacentral:rRNA from 1 species
GACGAACGCUUUCGGCGUGCUUAACACAUGCAAGUCGAACGGAAAGGCCCUGCUUUUGUGGGGUGCUCGAGUGGCGAACGGGUGAGUAACACGUGAGUAACCUGCCCUUGACUUUGGGAUAACUUCAGGAAACUGGGGCUAAUACCGGAUAGGAGCUCCUGCUGCAUGGUGGGGGUUGGAAAGUUUCGGCGGUUGGGGAUGGACUCGCGGCUUAUCAGCUUGUUGGUGGGGUAGUGGCUUACCAAGGCUUUGACGGGUAGCCGGCCUGAGAGGGUGACCGGCCACAUUGGGACUGAGAUACGGCCCAGACUCCUACGGGAGGCAGCAGUGGGGAAUAUUGCACAAUGGGCGGAAGCCUGAUGCAGCAACGCCGCGUGCGGGAUGACGGCCUUCGGGUUGUAAACCGCUUUCGCCUGUGACGAAGCGUGAGUGACGGUAAUGGGUAAAGAAGCACCGGCUAACUACGUGCCAGCAGCCGCGGUGAUACGUAGGGUGCGAGCGUUGUCCGGAUUUAUUGGGCGUAAAGGGCUCGUAGGUGGUUGAUCGCGUCGGAAGUGUAAUCUUGGGGCUUAACCCUGAGCGUGCUUUCGAUACGGGUUGACUUGAGGAAGGUAGGGGAGAAUGGAAUUCCUGGUGGAGCGGUGGAAUGCGCAGAUAUCAGGAGGAACACCAGUGGCGAAGGCGGUUCUCUGGGCCUUUCCUGACGCUGAGGAGCGAAAGCGUGGGGAGCGAACAGGCUUAGAUACCCUGGUAGUCCACGCUGUAAACGGUGGGUACUAGGUGUGGGGUCCAUUCCACGGGUUCCGUGCCGUAGCUAACGCUUUAAGUACCCCGCCUGGGGAGUACGGCCGCAAGGCUAAAACUCAAAGGAAUUGACGGGGCCCCGCACAAGCGGCGGAGCAUGCGGAUUAAUUCGAUGCAACGCGUAGAACCUUACCUGGGUUUGACAUGGAUCGGGAGUGCUCAGAGAUGGGUGUGCCUCUUUUGGGGUCGGUUCACAGGUGGUGCAUGGCUGUCGUCAGCUCGUGUCGUGAGAUGUUGGGUUAAGUCCCGCAACGAGCGCAACCCUUGUUCACUGUUGCCAGCACGUUAUGGUGGGGACUCAGUGGAGACCGCCGGGGUCAACUCGGAGGAAGGUGGGGAUGACGUCAAGUCAUCAUGCCCCUUAUGUCCAGGGCUUCACGCAUGCUACAAUGGCUGGUACAGAGAGUGGCGAGCCUGUGAGGGUGAGCGAAUCUCGGAAAGCCGGUCUCAGUUCGGAUUGGGGUCUGCAACUCGACCUCAUGAAAUCGGAGUCGCUAGUAAUCGCAGAUCAGCAACGCUGCGGUGAAUACGUUCCCGGG